CAGUAGCCGCGGUAAUACGAAGGGUGCAAGCGUUAAUCGGAAUUACCGGGCGUAAAGCGCGCGUAGGUGGUUCAUUAAGUUGGAUGUGAAAGCCCUGGGCUCAACCUGGGAACUGCAUCCAAAACUGGUGAGCUAGAGUACGGUAGAGGGUAGUGGAAUUUCCUGUGUAGCGGUGAAAUGCGUAGAUAUAGGAAGGAACACCAGUGGCGAAGGCGACUACCUGGACUGAUACUGACACUGAGGUGCGAAAGCGUGGGGAGCAAACAGGAUUAGAUACCCCAGUAGUCCCUGUCUCUUAUAC
rnacentral:rRNA from 1 species